GACAGAGGCCUCGAGCGUUAGGCGGAAUCACUGGGCUUAAAGCGUGUGUAGGCGGAUCGUUAAGUCGCUUGUGAAAUCCCACGGCUCAACCGUGGAACGGCUGGGUAUACUGGCGGUCUUGGGCCAUUCAGGGGCGACUGGAACAAGCGGUGGAGCGGUGAAAUGCGUAGAUAUCGCUUGGAACGCCGAAGGUGAAAACAGGUCGCUGGGGAUGUGCCGACGCUGAGACACGAAAGCCAGGGGAGCAAACGGG
rnacentral:rRNA from 1 species